rnacentral:rRNA from 1 species
GAUGAACGCUGGCGGCGUGCUUAACACAUGCAAGUCGAACGAAGCACUUUAUUUGAUUUCCUUCGGGACUGAUUAUUUUGUGACUGAGUGGCGGACGGGUGAGUAACGCGUGGGUAACCUGCCUUUUACAGGGGGAUAACAGUUGGAAACGGCUGCUAAUACCGCAUAAGCGCCCAGCAUCGCAUGAUGCAGUGUGAAAAACUCCGGUGGUAUAAGAUGGACCCGCGUUGGAUUAGCUAGUUGGUGAGGUAACGGCCCACCAAGGCGACGAUCCAUAGCCGACCUGAGAGGGUGACCGGCCACAUUGGGACUGAGACACGGCCCAGACUCCUACGGGAGGCAGCAGUGGGGAAUAUUGCACAAUGGGCGAAAGCCUGAUGCAGCGACGCCGCGUGAGCGAAGAAGUAUUUCGGUAUGUAAAGCUCUAUCAGCAGGGAAGAUAAUGACGGUACCUGAAUAAGAAGCACCGGCUAAAUACGUG